ACUAAGCUUUACUACAAUGUAGUGUAGUAUAUAUUGUACUGUAGUGUAAUAAAGUGUACUAGACUACUGCACA